UACUUCCUGUGUCUAAGGGUCUGAGCAGCUACUGUCAGGUCAUUACAAUGCCUAACCCAGCUAUGGCAGCCAGGUUUAAAGUUCACAUAUGUGUGACGGCGUGGAAUUCCAGUGUGGACUCGAGUGCGCCAAGCAAGAACCUCGUGGUGGCGAUUCUGGGGUGAACAUGGGACCUGGCAUCGGAAUCGGUAGAUGCGACAUCGGUGAGAAUGUUUGGGACAAGUUCAAGAGCAGAACAAUAUAGGAAGAAACUUUGGUACCAAUAAGAGAAAACCUGGACCAAAAAUGCAAACAUUGGAUAAAGCAAAAAUGAAGCCCUGACAACAUCCUAGCUGCAGUGCUGAAGAUUUGACUUCCACAUCCAGCUGCACUCCUAGCCAAGCUGUUCUUACAGCAUUGGCAUCUAUUAAAUUUUAUGCAAACUUACCCAGGGUGUGUCCUGUCCACAAAAUACAGAACAAAUUUGAUCUGGUUAGCUAAUCUCAGUCUACUUGCAAUCAGCAAAAUGAUGAAGGUGUGUCUUCAAAAGUACUUUAAUGUAGCACUCACUCAACAUUAAUCUGCUCACCAAUGAUCAGUUUGUGUUCCACUCG